rnacentral:rRNA from 1 species
GAUGAACGCUGGCGGCGUGCCUAAUACAUGCAAGUCGAGCGAACGGACUUGAAGCUUGUUCCUCUUAGGUUAGCGGCGGACGGGUGAGUAACACGUGGAUAACCUACCUUUAAGCCUGGGAUAACUUCUGGAAACCAGUGCUAAUACCGCAUAAUAUUUUUAACCGCAUGGUUCAAGAUUGAAAGAUGCUCUUGCUUCCCCUAAUAAUUGUACCCCGUUUGCAUUGCCAAGUGGGUAGGGAAACGCCCAACCAAGGCAACGAUGCUAGGCGGACCUGAGAGGUUGAUGGGCAAAACUGGAACUGGGAAACGGUCAAGACUCCUACGGGAGGAAGAAGUGGGGAAUAUUGGGCAAGGGGCGAAAGCCUGACGAAGAAAGGCCGCGUGGGUGAGGAAGGUCUUCGGAUGGUAAAACUCUGUGAUAGGGGAAGAAGAUAGGUAGAAGGAAAAGUGCAUAACGUGACGGUACCUAAUCAGAAAGCCACGGCUAACUACGUG